rnacentral:rRNA from 1 species
UGGUGGAGUGAUUUGUCUGGUUAAUUCCGUUAACGAACGAGACCUUAACCUGCUAAAUAGUUACGUGAACCUUUGCGUUCGUGGACAACUUCUUAGAGGGACUUUUGCGUGUUUUAACCAAAGGAAGUUUGAGGCAAUAACA